UACAGAGGUGGCAAGCGUUGUUCGGAUUUAUUGGGCGUAAAGGGUCCGUAGGCGGCCUGAAAAGUUGGAUGUGAAAUCCCACAGCUUAACUGUGGAACUGCAUUCAAAACUCUCAGGCUCGAGUGUGAUAGGGGUAAAGGGAAUUCCCGGUGUAAGGGUGAAAUCUGCAGAGAUCGGGAGGAACACCAGUCGCGAAGGCGCUUUACUGGAUCACUACUGACGCUGAGGGACGAAAGCCAGGGGAG
rnacentral:rRNA from 1 species